AUUGAACGCUGGCGGCAUGCCUUACACAUGCAAGUCGAACGGCAGCACGGGGCAACCUGGUGGCGAGUGGCGAAGGGGGGAGUAAUGCAUCAGAACGUACCUUUCAGUGGGGGAUAACGUAGCGAAAGUUACGCUAAUACCGCAUAUUCUGUGAGCAGGAAAGAAGGGGAUCGCAAGACCUGGCGCUGAUUAAGCGGCGGAUGUCAGAUUAGCUAGUUGGUGAGGUAAAGGCUCACCAAGGCGACGAUCUGUAGCGGGUCUGAGAGGAUGAUCCGCCACACUGGAACUGAGACACGGUCCAGACUCCUACGGGAGGCAGCAGUGGGGAAUUUUGGACAAUGGGGGCAACCCUGAUCCAGCCAUGCCGCGUGAGUGAAGAAGGCCUUCGGGUUGUAAAGCUCUUUCGGCCGGGAAGAAAUCGCACGGGCUAAUACCCUGUGUGGAUGACGGUACCGGAAUAAGAAGCACCGGCUAACUACGUGCCAGCAGCCGCGGUAACAC
rnacentral:rRNA from 1 species